AGAAACUAGUCAUCGGAUCUAACGGUCAUCUCGCGCCGAACUGCGCAUGUGCAGGCCGUUUAUUCAAAGGCACUUCACUGUCAGUUUGUCACUUUCACGGGAUUGGAGUAAUAACAUGUUCAACUACUUGAGACAUUGUCUCGAAUCUAGGUUAUGCCUUUAGAUUUCGCGAAAAUUAACAACUAAGGAAGUAUUUUUCACUUUUCACAAUGACUUCUCAAACGCCGACCUUGUCUGUUUCGCAAGCGUUCCCGGAAGUCUCGUGAUGUUGCGCCUCUGAAUUUAGAAACUCUGCGGUGCACGCUGCGAAACCAACAGGAAGUAGAACGUUGCAUUCUGGCGUCAAAGUUGAAAGUUGACGCAAAGGCACUCAAACGUGUAGCAAUCUGAUUUUUGUUUUAGCUUUUACAUAACACAUUUUUUUAUGAUCAAAUAGUCCAGAUUUGUUGAAAAGCCUUCAUAGACAAUCGAACUGAAUCUCAUGGUGUUCUGAAAGUAAUCUGAACGUUAUGUCAGCUCUCCACAAGGACAGGUUGCAGCUAUUGUUCACCCUUUUUUAUAUAUUUUUUAUACAUUUUGCCGUUUGAAUAAAUAACAUUAUAACCUU